rnacentral:rRNA from 1 species
UACAGAGGGUGCAAGCGUUGCUCGGAAUCAUUGGGCGUAAAGCGCACGUAGGCGGCAUUCUAAGUCGGAUGUGAAAUCCCUCGGCUCAACCGAGGACGUGCAUCCGAAACUGGAACGCUCGAGUAUGGAAGAGGGUCGCGGAAUUCUCGGUGUAGAGGUGAAAUUCGUAGAUAUCGGGAGGAACACCAGUGGCGAAGGCGGCGACCUGGGCCAAUACUGACGCUGAGGUGCGAAAGCGUGGGGAGCAAACAGG